UUCCUGGUGUGUCCGCUGUGCCGUGCGUGUGAUCAUUGCUUGUACAGCCCUCUCGCAGUGUCCGGAGCAAGUAUGGUGGGUCUGACACACCGGUGUCAAUGUGUUCUUUUUUCCAUUUCCAGGAGUGUAUUUCAUCUUUUAAAGUUACCCAUUCAUCAUCUUCUAUUUCUACAUUCCUCUUUCCUAACUACACGACGAGGUUUUUUUCCCAAAAUUGCCAUUCUAAAAACACAAAGUUGUCUUACGUUUCCAGAUUGAAGCUUUGGCAAUUGAGGUUUUGUACAUAUUUGUUUGGAAGACUUCUGAAGGGUAGAGGUUGGGAAACAAUACUUUCAUUUGAUUAGGCUCAGUAUGCAGAAGUGCUUGAUACAGUAUCAAACUUGCUUGAUCAGUCAUGCUACAUUUGACUUGCAGCACUAGUACAAAGGAUAGAUAUGUGAGAAACUAUGAACUAGGCAGUACUACAAUCUAAUGUUUUGCUUACUAAACUGACACUUUUAUGAAAUCCUAUAGCGUCAACUCACAAAUUGCUAUUGUUUGUGAAUAGGUUGUAUGGCUAUGUGUACAUACAUUUAUGUGGCUUUUAAAGUAAAGGUUACAUUCAAAGGUGAAAAUUUUGUCCUUCAAAAACCAUUACACAGUUCUGAACCAAAGUCAGUAUUUUAUUUGGUUAUGAGAAACUAAUGAUUUAUGAAGUGCGUUGCAAAUGAAAAUUCGGUAGCUGUUCUCAUAUUAGAAUACCAGGGAAAACGAUACCAGUUUCUAAUCAGCUUUAGAGCAAGAUAGUGACACCCACAUGAAAUGAUAGAGAAAAUUAAUCCAGAAUUAAAUUCUAACAAAUGAAACAAAUUCCAUUAAACUGAGUGCAACUGUUACCUGAAGUGAGGGCGGCUGAAGUAGCUGCUCUUGCUACAUUCACCUGUAACACUACUAAUUCUAAUUGAUGUCUUGUAAAGUAAUGACCACAGAAGACAAUAUUUCACCCCAUUUCCUGUUAAUAGCAGCAGUUCUGGAAUCUUCUUCUGUGGCCUUCCUGUUUCUGGACCUCAAAUCGAUUCGAAUCUUGCAUCGGCGACGUACAGCAGAAGAAGACGACAAAAGGGUACAAAACAAAAGAAAAGAAUGACAUAGAUUAACAAAGAAUGUGGAACAAAUAUUGUCUCUGUUUUACAUAAUUAUCAUCUUUUCAAGAAAUAAUUACAUAAUGGAAUGAAUAUUAUUGAGUUACGUAAUUUUCCACACGUUUUGUAUUCCACUCGUAAUAAAAAAUAUAUAUAUCGUGGAUGUCAUACCACGCUUAAG